CCAUGCCUGUACCGGUCCAUGGAGCUUAGAGCAGAGCCAGCGCUAUGAUAGCGCGGGCUCUGCAUGAGCCGACAGAGGAGAUCCUGAGAUCUUCCCUGCCGGUCUCAAUCCAUAGGUGUGCCGUGGGGAUUAGGGUGUGCCCAGGCACACCCGGCACAGGCCUAUGGCAAAGACAUGGACGAUAACUGUAUGGGUUGACAUUAAUCUUGUUAAACCAAUAAUAUGGGCCCUGAGGCUUGGAAAGUAUCUACUGGCUGGUGGUAAUAACCGUAAUUUACAGCUGAUUUUUUAGCAACUGCUCAGGAAAUGAGACCUUAGGAGCCAUGUAAUAACACUGUAGAAAUACAGUAGAGUCUUGGCCAAUAUAUAAUCUUAAUAUAUGACUUGUUCAAUUAUAAUAUUCAAGAAUUUAG